UCCUUUGACUCAAAUCAGGUAGG
rnacentral:rRNA from 1 species